AAUCAUUUAGUCGAUGUGCCCGGGCAUUGUGAGCCGUGUGUUCGGGUCG
ensembl:ncRNA C05D2.12 ncRNA